CAGACAUCUAAAGAGAACGAAAGAUUUAUCGGGCAACGGAUGGGGAUGCGUCUGAUUAGGUUGUUGGCGGGGUAACGGCCCACCAAGCCUACGAUCAGUAGGGGUUCUGAGAGGAAGGUCCCCCACAUUGGAACUGAGACACGGUCCAAACUCCUACGGGAGGCAGCAGUGAGGAAUAUUGGUCAAUGGACGGAAGUCUGAACCAGCCAAGUAGCGUGCAGGACGACGGCCCUAUGGGUUGUAAACUGCUUUUAUGUGGGAAUAAAGUGAGGGACGUGUCCCUUUUUGUAGGUACCACAUGAAUAAGGACCGGCUAAUUCCGUG
rnacentral:rRNA from 1 species